CACUUCCGCCCUCACUGGUUGCCGUGGUAACAGGCCUCCGGUGGAGGGCGGGGACCCUCGGAAGCCAGCUGGGUGGCGAUCGCUUGUCUGCCUUGGCAGGCCCCUUGUGCAGUCUUUUCCCGGCGUGAGCGUGCAGGGAUUGAAAAGGAAUGCUUUAUGGUUCAGCAGAGAGCCACCACGCAGGAUGCACUGGGACCUGAGAACCGUCGGGCAGUCCCACGAGCUCUUUCAUGACCAGCUCCAACCGACAAGUACACGCCCCUUCGCACUCCACUAGCUAGUAAGCUGAGCUACAAGGUGUGCCAGGCACCCAGGACGCCGAUUCACCGCUUCAGUGAAGGCCCAGCUCAAAUGCCACCUCUUCCAUGAAGACUUCCGUGAUCCACAAUGAUAGCAUCUCCAGCAAUUGCUUCUAUAAUGAAUAGCAUGAGUCAUUCUGCAGGAUGUUGAUCUUCCUUUUUUUACUCCUAGACUGAAUUUUUCCACCACCUGGAUGAACAUAGCAGAAAGAACAUAGUGUUUUAGAGUCAGACACAAUAGGAAUCAGGCACUUUGGAAUCUUGGCUCUACCACCUUUGAGCUAUGUAUCCCAAGAGCCCUCUUUCUUCCAUUCACUUACCUGUCUAGUCAAACACCCAUCAGACCUUUGCCAGGUGUCCAGCCUGGGCACUACGUUUCAGAAAAUGAUGCACAUAGAAUCCCUAACUGAAAGGAGAUCGCAGCUCAUUUGGUACAAAGUGCUUUUAGCCUGGGUAAGGAGCUGGAGAGAUGUGAAAAUGUGGAAAGCAAGCCUAAGUCGCAGUGUGGCCUAUGCCUGAGAGCCAUCUUCAGUGCCCCCUUGUGGCUGUAUCUGGGAACCACAGACAGAAUCAUGGAACUGACCAUCUUCAGUCUCAAAGUGCUGCCCUCACCACUACACCCAGGGGCAGGUGGUCUUCGGGGGAAAGGCGGUUCCAGUUCCUUCUCCCAAGGUAACAACUCCCAUCCCAAGGCAAUGUUCACAGAACCUAUCAGAGUCCCCCCUGCCCUAUGCACAGCUUAAGACCAGGGUGGUCUCAGCUCUGAUCAGGCCACUGAGGGCAUCUGUCUGAGAUUUGGGACCCAGUUAUUGUCCCUGUUCUUCUUAGGCAGAUGGCGGAGUUCCCCAGUACACAGAAGGUGCUCACUCUUCACAAAAAGCAGUGCUUGAGAAUAACAGCCUACCUUGGUGGAGUAGCUUCGUUAGGGCCAGGGCUUGACUUGAAGCCAGAGACUGAGGUUGCAGUCCAGCCUUGGGUCAGCCUCAGGCUGGGGCUGGGGUGAUGCUGAGACCCUCACCAGAAAAAAGGCCUUUACCCCAUCCGAAAGGAAAUGGCUAUCCUCUGACCUGAGCACUCUAGCCUGAGGCCUGCCUGGCGCUAGAAGCCAGCCUCUGUUGUCCCCUCCCAGCACUCCUCCCACUGCUCUGCCUUUCUGCCCACAUAGAAACUCUGGAGACACCAGCUCCCCACCCUUCCAAGCUAAGCCCCACUGCUGUCUCUGCCUCCUCCAUCUUUCAAACCGGCAAUGUUUUUCCAAUCAGGCCUCCCUAUCCUUCCCCUACUGCUCUGCCCUUCACUGCCUUCCUUUCCUGGCGACUCUCAGCCGCCCUUCAAGGCCCAGCUCAGGCGUUCUUUCCUCAGUGACGCACCCCCGGGCAGGCUGGGGCUUCUGGCACAGCUCUGGCCACCCUGCGUAUCUUCAGCUGUUCCCAAUGUUUGUCUCUGCUCCCAAGUAGCUCUCUCACAGUUUCUGGCACAGAGGAGUUGGCCCUGAGGGGGAUGAACAGCAAGGACAGGCAGGACAGUUCUGGCAGUAAGGAAGUUAGAACAAGGUCCUUUGGUCUCGGCUAGGAAGGGUUCCCAGGUGCUUAGUACUCACUGAACAGAAAGGAAUUAGAAAAGAGGUGGCAUCUUGUAAUCGCUAGGGUGACAGCAGGCCAGGCCUCUGCCUUUUUGGUAGAGCUGAGGCCAGGGGCAGGGAACACAGCUUGAGUGACCCAUAAGGAGCCUUCCAGCUCAGCCACCCAAGGGCCCCCCAGCUGGACAGGAGCCCUUUACCACAUGGUAGGCAUCAUGUCAAGUGGCUCCCAAUGACCCCUGCCCCCUGGCAUCCAUUCCCUGGUGUAAUCCCCUCCCGUCCAGUGGGAGCUGGACCGAGCAAUGUUCAUUUAAUGAACAGAAUAUGGCAAAAGUGACAGGAUAUCACUUCCCAGGUUAGGUUAUAAGGGCCUGGGACUUCCGUCUUGCUCGCACACUUCACUCCACUCACUGGCUCUUCUUGCUAAGUAAGCUGGUGUGCCGUGAGCUACCCCAUGGAAAGGCCCAUGUGGCAAGGAACUGAAAGUGGCCUCUGUCAACAGCCAGUGAGGAAGUCAAUCCUGCGAACAACUGCAGGAACGGCCUUGGGAGUGGAUCCUUCCUCAGCCCGGCUCCAAGACAACUGCAGCCCUGUGAGAAACCCUGAGUGGAGGACCAAGCCAAGCCUCAAAUCGUGACUUGGAACUGGGAGACAACAGAUGCUGUUGGAAGCCACUGAGCUCUGAAGUAGUUUGUUACACAGUGACAGGUAACUUACACACCAUGGCAGGGUCAUGUGGGCCAAAGGUGCAAGGGGCUAGAGGGCUCAGAGGGCAGCCAGCUGGGGACCCAGUCUUCCCCAGGUGUCAGCAGCAGAUGCAGAUGCAGCCCCAGCAAUAACUCAUAGAGGAUUCUCACUUUCAUUUAUUUUCAAGGCAUAUACAAAAGUCUGACAUGGUGCAAUGAUCUCAUCAAGAGAUAACAGAACACACAGGAGAGGGUUGGGUUUCCUCCCCGGCCCAACCCCCUCAGGAAGGCACAGAAAAGUGAGGCUUGGGUUCGGGGGCCACCUGCUUUGGAACUAAUCUGCUGCUCAGAAGGCCAGGCCCCUUCUGAAGAGGGAUCUCUUCCUCACAUCCAGAAUCUAGGAUCUGGGGAAGGUAAACUGAGGCCACCAGUAAGCAUGUGCUCCAGGCCAAGGCUGAGUCUGUGCUGCAUCCAUGUCAUCAGCCACCCAAGAAAAACCAGUUACUCCACCUAGCUCAUGGUGGCGGCAUCCUCCCUGCAAUGGUGCAUGGGGGGCAGUCCUUUCCCCUGCAGGGUGUCAUUGCCACCCCCAUCCUCAUCCUGGAGGCCAGUCCAGGCUCCGAUAUGAGUGACUAGGGGUGAGGUAGGGGUGGCAGAAGGGAGAUCAAACUGGAGCAUUCCAGAUGCCUACUACUGCCCUCACACAACGGGGCAACUGUGCUCUCCAACUCCUCCCCUUGGCAGAGAAACUGGUCCUGCAGUUUCAGGACUAGACGAGCGUGGGGUAGUGGCAAUAAAGGGGCUUGUAUGAGAAGUGGCUUUCGCCUCUCAUCCCUAGGGGCAAAAAGUGAAUCAUCUAACUGGUCCAAGUCACUAAUGGCAAUCCUUCUUCCCCAAGAAGACUGAGUUUCCUUUGUCACUUCAGGAAGGGAAGAA
rnacentral:lncRNA from 1 species